UACGGAGGGGGCUAGCGUUGUUCGGAAUUACUGGGCGUAAAGCGCGCGUAGGCGGACCUGCAAGUCGGGGGUGAAAGCCCGAGGCUCAACCUCGGAACUGCCUUCGAUACUGCGGGUCUCGAGUCCGGGAGAGGUGAGUGGAAUUCCUAGUGUAGAGGUGAAAUUCGUAGAUAUUAGGAGGAACACCGGUGGCGAAGGCGCCACUCUGGGCCGAAACUGACGCUGAGGAGCGAAAGCAUGGGUAGCAAACAGG
rnacentral:rRNA from 1 species